GCUAAGCCCUAAACAUUGAUAGUAGUUAUUACAUUACUUUCCGCCAGAGAACUACAAGUGAAAAACUUGAAACUCAAAGGACUUGACGGUGUCCCAUAUCGACCUAGAGGAGCCUGUCCUAUAAUCGAUACCCCCCGUUCCACCCAACCUCAACUAGCAAAAUAUCAGCCUAUAUACCGCCGUCGACAGUCUACCCCAUGAGGGCUCAACAGUAGACACAACAGCCUUAACGCUAAUACGUCAGGUCAAGGUGUAGCAAAUGUUGAGGAAAAGAUUGGCUACAUUUUUUAUGAUAAAAAACACGAAUUGCACUAUGAAACACUGCAUGAAGGUGAAUUUAGUAGUAAAACAGACAAGAGUGUCUGUUUUAACAACGCUCUGGGACGCGU
rnacentral:rRNA from 1 species